rnacentral:rRNA from 1 species
AGCAAAACUCAAAAACUUGUCUCAGUUCGGAUUGUAGGCUGAAACUCGCCUACAUGAAGCUGGAGUUGCUAGUAAUCGCGAAUCAGCAUGUCGCGGUGAAUACGUUCCCGGGCCUUGUACACACCGCCCGUCACACCAUGAGAGUUGGCAAUACCCAACGUACGUGAUCUAACCCGCAAGGGAGGAAGCGUCCUAAGGUAGGGUCAGCGAUUGGGGUGAAGUCGUAACAAGGUAUC